rnacentral:rRNA from 1 species
CUACGGGGGGCACCAGUGGGGAAUAUUGCACAAUGGGCGCAAGCCUGAUGCAGCCAUGCCGCGUGUAUGAAGAAGGCCUUCGGGUUGUAAAGUACUUUCAGCGGGGUGGAAGGGAGUAAAGUUAAUACCUUUGCUCAUUGACGUUACCCGCAGAAGAAGCACCGGCGAACUCCGUGCCAGCAGCCGCGGUAAUACGGAGGGUGCAAGCGUUAAUCGGAAUUACUGGGCGUAAAGCGCACGCAGGCGGUUUGUUAAGUCAGAUGUGAAAUCCCCGGGCUCAACCUGGGAACUGCAUCUGAUACUGGCAAGCUUGAGUCUCGUAGAGGGGGGUAGAAUUCCAGGUGUAGCGGUGAAAUGCGUAGAGAUCUGGAGGAAUACCGGUGGCGAAGGCGGCCCCCUGGACGAAGACUGACGCUCAGGUGCGAAAGCGUGGGGAGCAAACAGGAUUAGAUACCCCCGUAGUC